rnacentral:rRNA from 1 species
UACGGGGGGAGCAAGCGUUGUUCGGAUUUACUGGGCGUAAAGGGCGCGUAGGCGGCCACCGCAAGUCGACUGUGAAAUCUCCGGGCUUAACUCGGAAAGGUCAGCCGAUACUGCGGGGCUAGAGUGCGGAAGAGGCGAGUGGAAUUCCUGGUGUAGCGGUGAAAUGCGCAGAUAUCAGGAGGAACACCUAUUGCGAAGGCAGCUCGCUGGGACGUAACUGACGCUGAGACGCGAAAGCGUGGGGAGCAAACAGG